UUUUGUUAUACCAGUGAUCCAUAAUGCUCAUUUAUAUAAUUUAAAUAUUUCAAAUAUAUAAUCCUAUGAACUGCUGAUCAUGAAGACGCUUUCCGUAUGUAAGAAUUACCAAGAAAAAGUGCACAUUGUUAAAUAUCGAGAGGUAUUUUUUUU